rnacentral:misc_RNA from 1 species
UCCGGUUUGUCACCGGCAGUCUCCUUAGAGUUCCCGGCAUUACCCGCUGGCAAAUAAGGACAAGGGUUGCGCUCGUUACGGGACUUAACCCAACAUCUCACGACACGAGCUGACGACAGCCAUGCAGCACCUGUCACUCGGUUCCCGAAGGCACCAAGGCAUCUCUGCCAAGUUCCGAGGAUGUCAAGGGGUGGUAAGGUUCUUCGCGUUGCAUCGAAUUAAACAACAUGCUCCACCGCUUGUGCGGGCCCCCGUCAAUUCAUUUGAGUUUUAGCCUUGCGGCCGUACUCCCCAGGCGGAGAACUUAUCGCGUUAGCUACGCCACUAAACCCUCAAGGGGUCCAACGGCUAGUUCUCAUCGUUUACGGCGUGGACUAC